AUUCCAGCUCCAAUAGCGUAUGUCAAAGUUGUUGCGGUUAAAAAGCUCGUAGUUGGAUCUCGGUGUCGGGCUGGUGGCGCGCCCGUAGUGGCGAUCUACUGCCAGUUCCCCGGCGAAAAGAGGCCGGCAGUUUUUCCCUUGGUGCUCUUGACUGAGUGUCUCGGGUGGCCGGAACGUUUACUGUGAAAAAAUUAGAGUGCUCAAAGCAGGCCUUCGUGCCCGAAUAUUGGUGCAUGGAAUAAUGGAGGACGACCUCGGCUCCACUUUGUUGGUUUACGGUGCUCGAGGUAAUGACUAAGAGAGACUGCCGGGGGCAUACGUACUGCGGCGCGAGAGGUGAAAUUCUGUGACCGUCGCAGGACGAACGAAAGCGAAGGCAUUUGCCAAGAAUGUUUUCAUUA
rnacentral:rRNA from 1 species